UGUGCUCACUUGUUUGGAUUUACCAAGGACAGAGUCAGUCUUUCUUGGUACCUACAGAUGUGAGGAUGGCCAAUUGCCAGGAAUGCUCUGAAGGGGAUCUUUCCUGAGAAAGCAGCCUAUUCAGCACAUGUAUUUUUACAUGCACAUAGAGAAUUGUACCUCAUUUCACAGCUACAUUUUUGUGAGGUGGCUGACUUGGCAGAUAAAAACUGUGAGAAGAGAUCACUCCUCCUAAAUGCUGUUGGAACUGAAAAUCAACCUAUGGCCUGUUCAGCACAUGUAUUUUUACAUGCACAUAUAGAAUCCUACCUGGUUUCCCAGCUACAUUCUUGUGAGGUGGCUGACUUGGCAGAUACAAAUUGUGAGAAGAGAUCACUCCUCCUAAAUGCUGUUGGAACUGAAAAUCAACCUAUGGGUGAGCUUCCUACUUGAACAACAUGAUACAUAAAUCCAUGUUCAGUCAAAUAAAUAUUUUUGGAUCUGUGGAUGAUA